UUCUAAGAGGCGCUUCAGCCUUCCCCGGGAGGGUUAAUUGGCAGAGACGAGAGUUCAAAGCAGCCCCAGAGUUGAAUUCACUCGCUCCUGAUGCAUUCGGAGUUUAGCGCCACCAACGAAAACAAAACGGAUAUAAACAAGAGUGAGCAGUUCAGUACAAAUAAUAAUUUCGCUUUAAGACUUCUUUUAUUUUUUCUUGUUUUUAAAAUAUUAAAAUAACGUACCUGCUCUUUGUUUUCGUUUAAAAAACCCUCAAAUCGUACAGAAGGAUAGGAAGUAAAAACGUAACCAUGCUCUUUAAUACAAAAUGUUUAAAAAGAGAAACCACUUUUAAUAGUUUGCAGGUAUCCUGAGACCUCUGGUUUUCCAACCACAAUGAACUCCCCCUGAUGCCCAGACAUACCAAUUAGAAAAUCAGAAAUAGGGCUCGGAGCCUCAUAGAGGAAGGUGAGGGCGUCCUUGACAUGCCUUUGUUGAUUUGCUGCUGUUCCCAAGUAGAAAUAAAUAUUAGGAUGUUUGAGGACAUCUGGAGGAGGGAAAGGUGAGAGGAGCUGCAGCUGCUGCUCAAGGCCACAGCCAAAGGGGUUCCUGGACCAGUACAGACCACGGGGAGUCCUGCUCCUCAAGCUCCCCCCUCUCCUCCCUACCUGUCGGACCCUCCCUUCGACAGUCUUUGACGGGAGCCCCCAGGGGGAGAUGCUACAUUUAUUUUUCCUGCCUCCAAUCCCCCGCCUCCCGGCUGAUGACUCAGCACAGGUUAUUUCACUUUUUGGUUCUCAGCUGUGCUGUGUCAAGCAGAAAAGAUAAACAUUUUAUAUUCCUGAAGGCAGGGGGCUUAUGGAAAGAAUGCACGCAGGAUGCCCAGCAUUACCCUGGCCCUUGAGGGAGAAACUGGCAUCAGAAAUUCAAGACCCAUUCUUAGAGGGAUCAGACAAUGGUGGUCCUCACUGUAAAAUGCUUUGCUGCCCCGCAUCGCUGCAGAAUGGAGUCUGGGACCCUUCGAAGCCCCGUUCCCCACGGCCAGCCCAGACAGAGCUGCCCCUGGCACGCAGGCAGUAUGUGAGCUUCUUGUAACUUCUCUUGCAGGACCUGCUGCUGUAUACCUCCAUCUGGAUUUGAUCAGCCUGGUGGCGGGGAGUGACGUUUCUGGGUGCUAACAGGCUGGAGUCUGGUGGCUGCUGAACGGUCUAGACAGGGCCUGUAUUUCCAGUUCACACAAUCCCCAGGAGACAGUGUCUGCCCUGGCAUUUCCUCCCAGGCUGUGCUUCUCUCUUAUGUUAUCUGCCCGGAGCCUGAAGACUUUGAGUUUGAGGUCACUGACCAUCCUGCCCACUGCCAGCACAUGGACCAAACUUAAUACCCACACCCGCUGAAAUGAGAACAGGCCUCUCCUUGAGGGCCACACCAAGCUCCUCACCCCUGGUCUCCAGCCUCAGAAGCCAGAAGAACAAUGUGGAUGGCUGGACAAUGAUGAUGGUCUUCUGGAAACUCCAGGCCUGGAGCAGGGGCCUCUGCCUGGGCCCCCUGUUCCCCAGCAUCUCUCUCCCUCCCUGCCCCCCACUCCUCUCCCUUCUACCCUCUACCCAUCCCUGCUCCUGUCCCCAUCUGCCCUCUCCCAGCAGAAUCCAGACAGCGCACCACAAUUAUCCCCAAAUUGACCCUCCAUCAAAUUCACCUGAAGCUGGGGUCAGACUGCUUUCCCAUUAGUGCCCCCUUUCCAUCAUCGUCCUGCAUGGCAGGAGCUGAGAGCCUGCUACUUAAGAGCUGCACGCACCAGCUGCAGCCUUGCCCUUCUAAGCAUCCUUUUCUCCAGGUUGUCUUUUUUCUUCCUCUGGGCUGUUCCUUGACACUUCCUCCUGUUCCCCCAAUUCCUACAGGUAAUUGAAGGCUACAGAGGUAUCAUUUGAGUGACUCUGAAGAUGGUGCCAGCUCUCAAGACCACCCACGUCACUCCUCUUGGAAGACAGCAGCCCCGUGGCGGGGACUGAGAGCAGUUCACAGCACUGGAGGCCAAGCACUGCAACUUCAGGGUGUGGUUCUCAAACUCGAGCGUGCAGCAGAAACACCUGGAGGGCUUGUUAAAACACAGAUGCUGGGCCCUACCCCGCAGUCUUUGAUUCAGGAGGUCUGGGGUGAGGCAGGAGAAUUUGCACUUCUGACAAGCUCCCAAGUCAUGCUGAGCUGCUGGUCCAGGGAACACACUUUGAGAACCACCAAUUUCACUGUCUGCCAGAGAACUCGAGGCUGAGAGAGUCUUCUUCAGACACCCCCCACCAACCUCGUGGAGGAGAGACCCUCCCUGCAGGAAGCAUGGCUGAUGAGUGGAGUAGGGCCGCAUCUGGGAUCUGAACCUGUGAACCCAGGCCUCCCAAGCAGAAAGUGUGGAACCUUAACCACUUGGCCACAGGCCCAGCCCCGAAGAGACCUGCCCUCAGGGUAAAGGAGCACCUCCUGGCCUGGGAGCUUUAAAGGCUCCUCUCCUGCUGGGGAGCAGCCCAACGCCAAUGACUAGUGACUUGGGAUACAGAAGCUGGGCCUCUUACAGGCUCCCCCCAGGACAAGGCUGAGACUGGACUCCAGCGAGAUAAUCUCCUUCCUUGCUGACCUCCUUCCUGGCUGGGCCUGCUUCCCUCAGUCCUGAGAGCACUGCCCUAAUCAAUCGUGUGUGCCAAAUCCUCGUCUCAGGUUCUGCUUCUCAUGAACCCAGACAUCCAUCUCCCGCCCCUACCACCAGCAUGAACAAACUACGAAUGGGGAGAGGGCUCUUCAGCACUCCUAACGGUUCUGGGGAUAAGGAAUAUUCAAGGAUGAUGAUGAUGAUGAUAGAUAUUUGUUGAUUUCCAUGGGGGCUCUGUGCUUCACUGUGAUGCCCCCUAACUCCAGCUGGUCAUCAAAGAAUUCACACCUUGGUUGUGCAGAAAAGGGAGGGCUUGAGGCUGAGACAAUUCAUCUCUCUCUACCUUCAUGUGAGGUACUUACCACAUUGUCAGCACUGCUCUAAGCUCU
ensembl:lncRNA